AACACAUGCAAGUCGAGCGGAAACGACACUAACAAUCCUUCGGGUGCGUUAAUGGGCGUCGAGCGGCGGACGGGUGAGUAAUGCCUAGGAAAUUGCCUUGAUGUGGGGGAUAACCAUUGGAAACGAUGGCUAAUACCGCAUGAUGCCUACGGGCCAAAGAGGGGGACCUUCGGGCCUCUCGCGUCAAGAUAUGCCUAGGUGGGAUUAGCUAGUUGGUGAGGUAAUGGCUCACCAAGGCGACGAUCCCUAGCUGGUCUGAGAGGAUGAUCAGCCACACUGGAACUGAGACACGGUCCAGACUCCUACGGGAGGCAGCAGUGGGGAAUAUUGCACAAUGGGCGAAAGCCUGAUGCAGCCAUGCCGCGUGUAUGAAGAAGGCCUUCGGGUUGUAAAGUACUUUCAGUUGUGAGGAAGGGUGUGUAGUUAAUAGCUGCGCAUCUUGACGUUAGCAACAGAAGAAGCACCGGCUAACUCCGUGCCAGCAGCCGCGGUAAUACGGAGGGUGCGAGCGUUAAUCGGAAUUACUGGGCGUAAAGCGCAUGCAGGUGGUUCAUUAAGUCAGAUGUGAAAGCCCGGGGCUCAACCUCGGAACUGCAUUUGAAACUGGUGAACUAGAGUACUGUAGAGGGGGGUAGAAUUUCAGGUGUAGCGGUGAAAUGCGUAGAGAUCUGAAGGAAUACCAGUGGCGAAGGCGGCCCCCUGGACAGAUACUGAAACUCAGAUGCGAAAGCGUGGGGAGCAAACAUGGAUUAGAUACCCUG
rnacentral:rRNA from 1 species